rnacentral:rRNA from 1 species
GACGAACGCUGGCGGCGUGCUUAACACAUGCAAGUCGAACGGAAAGGCCCUGCUUUUGUGGGGUGCUCGAGUGGCGAACGGGUGAGUAACACGUGAGUAACCUGCCCUUGACUUUGGGAUAACUUCAGGAAACUGGGGCUAAUACCGGAUAGGAGCUCCUGCUGCAUGGUGGGGGUUGGAAAGUUUCGGCGGUUGGGGAUGGACUCGCGGCUUAUCAGCUUGUUGGUGGGGUAGUGGCUUACCAAGGCUUUGACGGGUAGCCGGCCUGAGAGGGUGACCGGCCACAUUGGGACUGAGAUACGGCCCAGACUGCUACGGGAGGCAGCAGUGGGGAAUAUUGCACAAUGGGCGGAAGCCUGAUGCAGCAACGCCGCGUGCGGGAUGACGGCCUUCGGGUUGUAAACCGCUUUCGCCUGUGACGAAGCGUGAGAGACGGUAAUGGGUAAAGAAGCACCGGCUAACUACGUG